CUCCCUGCUCCGGGCUCCGCUCCACGACCGGGUCAGUGUCGGCCUCCCUCUUCCCCAGCGCUGCGCCCGCAGGCUGAGAGACCCUUGAAUACUCCUAGACCAAAGGCUGGGCAGGUCCAGAAAAUUAUCAGAGCUUUUCUUGCAGACUCGGCUACAGCUUAUUGAGAAGAUGGAGGUGGCACAGCUAAUGGAAAUAUCUGAAAUAUUUAAUGAAAAAGAAUAAACUGGACUUCCCUGGUGGUGCAGUGGUUGAGAGUC